rnacentral:lncRNA from 10 species
AGAGACAAACGAGGAAACUACUGCAAUAAUCUAGGCAAGACAUAAUGAGAAUUUUAAUUUUGUCACUAUCAUUAGAAAUAGGAAAGCAGUCACCAGAAUCUAAAGAAACAGAAUUUGGGAUUGGCCUUGCCUGUAAGUACAGCCUUAGUUUUCUCAGGUUUUUCUUUUUCUUUUCUUUUCUUUUUUUUUUUUUUUUUUUUUUUUUUUGAGACAGUCUCGCUCUGUCAUUCAGGCUGGAGUGCAGUGACAUGAUCUCAUCUCACUGCAACCUCUGCCUCCUGGGUUCCAGCGAUUCUCCUGCUUCAGUCUCCCGCAUAGCUGGGAUUACAGGCACACGCCACCAUGCCUGGCUAACUUUUUGUAUUUUCAGUAGAGACAGGGUUUCACCAUGUUGGCCAGGGUCGUCUCGAACUCCUGACCUCAGGUGAUCCUCCUGCCUCGGCCUCCCAAAGUGCUGGGAUUACAGGCGUGAGCCACCACACCCUGCCUAGUUUUUUCAGUUUUAAAGUAAUGCAUUUGAAAAAGAGUCAUUUCAAGUGUUCCUUCCUAGUCAGGAAAUCUGUGAAGAAUAUUCAGUGUGAAAUCUUUGAAAGUGAAAUGAAGCUACCUGGACUCCUCAUAGCAUGGGAUGGUAGAAAGAAUUCAAGCUAAUCAUACUCAGGUUAAGAAAAUUCAUCCUCAGAUUCUUUUUUUAAUUAUUAUUUUGAUAGGAGUCUCACUCUGUUUCCCAGGCUGGAGUGCAGUGGCCGGAUCUCGG